AUGUCUGAGAUUUCAGACAGUCAGCUAGCUUCAUGUGGCCAGAGUUCCUGUGAGCAAAACUGCACGCGUUGCACUAGGAGUGACUUUCAGGUGUUUAGACAGGCAAGUCUGGCUUGCUGCUACAAUGUUAUUUUAAAUUUUGGAAUGCUCGUUCCUCUCCGCAGUGCUUUUUUUUCCUCCGAAAAUUGGCCUUUUUUUGGGUAGAGGACAUUGAAUGAUAACACUACAAGUCAGCUGACUGCUGUGUCACAGAGCUGCUGCUUUCUACAUUUCCACAACUGCAAGAGCUCUUUCUACUGCAGUUUUCUGGUCGCAGUGCGGCAAUACAGACGCAUAGGGCGUGAUUCCGAACAUCUUUUUUUUCUCGGGAAUUUACCUUUAUGCCUAUUUCGGAUACAAAAAGGAUUGGUCUUUUUUUUGGAUAAGAGCUGGAAAGUAUCUUGGAUAUAGACGGUGACAUCAAACUUGCAACGUUUUUCAAUUAAACAAGCACUGCUCAAAGGCUGGAAUCCAAAAUGCUUCGAAAGAACGAAGAAACAUCUGCCUUCUCACCUGAUAUAAUAGUUUUUUGUGCCUCGCUAGCCUACCUGCAAAGAACAGGAACCUUAAGACAAAGGAUCCGAUGCUUCCUGGUAUCUAGAUCUGGGGCCUUUGCAGCCAAUGUACAGCUGAAUCUUUCUUAAACAUCAUGGGUUACAUGUAAAGCUGGCAAAAUAGUAGGAGGCAAUUUAUAUUUCACAUGAGGAAGAAACCGGCUUAAAAGAGUAGCCAGACUGGCUGACCUAAAUGAAUCCCAAUCCUUCUCUGGAUACAGGGCAGCAGCCGUCUAGCAGUGACACAACCAGCCAUCAUGUGGAGAAUUUCUAGGAUUGCAAUGUCUGUUGAAUGGAGCAUCACCGUAUGAAACACACUAUUUUUGCUUCUUGUUUUAUUGCUUUUCUUUUGGAUUUACCUGCAACAGCUGCCGGCUUAUUGUGUUUUCUUCAUUUUCAGCAAUGAGUCGUCUGGUCUAAGUGCAUGUGCUUGUGGAUUAGUCUGUCUGUAAUGCAGUCCUUAUCUGCUCCUGCUGGAAAUCAGGGCACUAAGUCAGCCUGCUUUAACAGUUGUUUUGCGUGAUGCUAUGCAGCUAGGAUGCCUCGCUGACAACAAAGGAGAAAGCACAAAGCAUCACUUUAUCUUCUGGGUUGUUACAGGGGAACAACUCCUCUUCUGUGUGAUGCCUCAUCCUAUUCCUUCAUUUCCUUCUUUUGUUUCUAAUUCAUCUAAUCGAAGAGCCUAACAGAAAUCAUCAUGGAUGUGUGUGGGUUUUCUUUUUGAUGGUUUGGAAAAAUACAGCCUAUGAAGACUACAGCACAUUUUAGGUUAUUGCCAAUUUGAAAUACUUGGUUUGCUGAAGCUGAGCCCUAAGGGACAAGCUCAGUAGCUGAAAAAGAGAUCGUAGAUAAAGAAAUAAAAAUGACAAGCAUAAUGGAGGCUCUGGAAAAGACACUGUCAGAGAAUCAGUUCAUGGGUAGCAGUUUCUUCAGUAUGAAUCUGAAUAAUUCAUAGAUUGAAAUUACCCUGCUUUCACCUUUCUAUUUAAAGCGACAUGAUCUGAAUCUCUAAUAAAUUUUCAGGAUAAAGUAAAAUGGCAAUUUGAAUGUGAAGUGCUUUUGAAAGCAGAUGCUGAAUCCUGAAUCUUUCGAUAUCUUUCACAAUUAUGCGGUGAGAACUCCCCUUCAUCAUUGAGCAGCUUUACCAAGGAAAAUUACUGUGAUUACAAAAGCUACAAUAGAAUGCCAUCAAAUGAUCUCUAAUUUGCCUAAUUUCGGAAGACUGACAGUCGCUCGUGCAUGGCUAUUGCAACACCUAUUCUGGCAACCCUGGAUCAAUACUCUCUUUAAACAAAAAUGUUUUCCUUUCUGUAUUUUCUUUGCUGAAACAAAAAAAAAACAAUUGGCUGUGAUUAAGACAUAGCAUAAAUCUGUCGUUAACUUUCUUUGUUUACACUCACUGCAUCAUAAUUGUAUCACUUCACACUUUCCUAAGCUCUCAGUUGCUGUACAGGUGAAUGUCGUUUCUAUUAUGCCGGCCCACACAAUGGCCACUGUAUGCUCUGUACGUAUGGUUAAACUCUGUGUUCAAUGUGAGCUACACGCUUUCAUUUGUCUCUUUAUGGAGUAACUUUCUGUAAGUGGCUGUAGAUAUUAUUCCUUUGAAGCACCUGCUGCUGAAAAGAUGCAUAUGAAGCCCGUCAAGCCAUACAACUCUACAACUUCAAUAUAUUCCUUUCACAAAGAGCCAGACACAAAGCCUUUGGAGCAGCUCAUAUCCUAGCAAUGCUCCUGACUCCUAAACAAAGUACAGGAAUGGAGAGGAACUAAAGCAUUCUCAUCGAUCUCUGGAUAAUCUCAUCUUUAUUUAGUCCAGCUGCAUUCCCUUGCCCCUAGGCUUUUGUUGGGUUAUUUAUGAUUGCUAGUAGGUAAUAUUAAAGUGUGCAGAGUUUUGUAACAGGGAAAUGUUGUAACAAUAAAAAAAUAAACUCAAACCCUA